GCAAGCAGCCUAAAUAUCCUAAAGGCACCAGAUUCCACCUGAGCUUGGACACUAAGCAGAGUCAUGCUUAAUUAAAAUUUGGGUGGAAGACCACCAACAAAUACCAGGUUGUGCGAGCU
rnacentral:rRNA from 11 species